GGGGUCGUAGCUCAUUUGGUAGAGCAUCUGCUUUGCACGCAGAGGGUAGCAGGUUCGAUUCCUGUCGGCUCCA
rnacentral:tRNA from 1 species